GCACCCAUAGCUCAGCUGGAUAGAGCGUUGCCCUCCGAAGGCAAAGGUCAGAGGUUCGAAUCCUCUUGGGUGCG
rfam:Asticcacaulis sp. AC466 contig00006, whole genome shotgun sequence.